CAAAGAACUGAUGUAUGGGCAAAAAUGUUUUCUUAUCAUUACUUACCUGAGCAAGUUAACUUCUGUUGAGCAAAUGUGGUUCAGUAAUUUUUACUGAACAAAUGGAUGAAGCAAUGCCAAAAGUAGAGCAGAAUUUUAAUAAAUGGUGCAUACUUAACUUCCUUAAAAUUUUCUGCCUAGAGAUUGAGUCUUAAAUCCAUCUUUUACUUACCUUACACAGAUAAGGUAAGUGAUGAAAUAAGGAAACUAUAGAAGUAUUUUGGCUUAGUGCAAUUGCAUUUUGGGGGGGAAUUUUGAAAAAAAAACAACAAAGUAAUAAAUGAUGCAUGUCAAAGGAACCCCUUUUCUUGGUUGAUAAUACCUUAAAUUGUGUGAAGUACAUGUUGCUACUUUGAUUAGGUUUUUGAGACGGUAUAUCAAGCAAUUUUGUGUUGUAUUAAUACUACUUGUUGCUACUAAGUGUAAGAUUUGGAUGAGAGUCUGAAUUGCCUUUUUUUUUAAAUUUUACAAACUUUGCCUGCAAACAGCAAGACAUGUAGACUAAAUGUUUGUCUUUAAAACUACAUUUUUUUAAGUUGUAUUUCAAAGAAUGCCAGGAAAACCAUCUUAUUAUCUAUUUCAAAUAACAAACAUUUAUAUAGCAUCGUGAAGCAAUUUACAAAUACUAACUUACUCCACCUUCAUAACCAUCCUAAAAAGUACGUAUGUUAUUAACCUCAUUUUCUUGAUGAGAAAUUUAAGCCAUACAGAGGGCAUCUUUCAAUGCAGCAAACAUAUUUUUAGUUAGAGAUCUAAUCCAGCUGUACUUAGAAAUAACAUCCUGUAGGGGCAUCUGGGUGGCUCAGUUGGUUACGUAUCCAACUCUUGAUUUCUGCUCAGGUAACGAUCUCAAGGUUCCUGGGAUCUGGGAUCGAGCCCUUCUCUCUUACCCUCUGCCCCUCUCCCCAGCUUGUGCUCUCUCUCUCUCAAACAACAACAACAAACCCACUAGUGUCAUUGCUUAAAGCACUUUGUAUUUACAAAUCACUAAUACUUAGACCUGCUCCCCCUCCAUACAAGCACACUGCAGUGCCAGGAUAAGAUGAUUUUGGAAAGGUACUUAUCAAUGGUACAACAAGAAGUUGCAAAACUCUAUAUAUAAUUUUUCUCCCAGAGUAAAUUCUUUUAAAAAUUAAGACAAUCGUGGCAGUUUUGGAGCUCUAAGAACAGAUUCCAAGGGGUAAAGCAAAACAAAUGAAAGCAAACAAAAACAAAACAAAACUCUUCCUGGACUACUUAAAAAGUAGUAAUUACUACUUAAGAUGUUUAGGAAGUUAGAUCAUAUUCUGAAACAAGGAGAACAAAUUAGUCAUUACUUUUAUUUCUUCACUGAAGAUCUUUCCUAGAAAUCAUAAGUUCACAAUGUUCAUUUCAUAUUUUAUCAUCAAUCAAAUUUCUAUUCCAAAAGAAAAUAAUAUCUUCUAGUUCCACAUAGAUACAAAAUACAUUCUCUAAUCUAGCAGAAGUUGAUGACCCUCUGUGUUAUUCUUAAUUAAUUUAUAUUAUACCAUUAAGCAUCCUCUGAAACAGAAGUAUAUUAUUGAUUGAAUUUUUGCAUCUGUUAAAUGUUCUGUCAAAAGGACGUUAAUCACGAUAUAUGACAAUAAAAAAUAUUUCUGUUAUUUGGGGAAAAUAGUAAAAACCAAAAAUUCACUUGUGUUCCAGAGUAAAAUGCAGAACAACAACAAUAUAUAUAUAUAUUUGUUACUAAAAACACCAUUGCACAGCAUUUGUGUGGUUAGGGAGAAGGUUUCAGAGAAACCAGAGAGGUGACUAUCUAGUGAAUAUACUGCUUGCAUAUUUCAUUGCUAAAAAAUCUGCACUAAUAGACAAAGACUGGCCAAUUAUCUGAAGUCCCUGAAAAUCUUUGAAUUUUAUGUGACGUUUGCCUUUUUGUCUUCUAGCUUACUUAUAAUAUUAAUUGUUUUGAAGCUUAAAAUUUCAUCAAUGUUGGUUUGAGUUAAUCUUUCUGUUUUUGCUGCAUCCCCAUAGUUCAGUAUUGAUGACCUCAAGAACAUAUCUGGAAACAGCUUAAUGAGAAAGGCAUGGGGAAAGAGCAUAUGGGAAGUUGAAGCUCAUUUCAGGGCAGUGUCUAGGUCUUUUCUUUACAUGUUUUCCUUUGACAUGAAAGUAUAAAUAUGAUAAGAUCCAAAGAGACACUUUUGUUUGGAUUUUAUUUGCACUUACCGGGAAAAAUAUAAGCCUAUAGUACCAAAGCAGGCAAUUGGUACAUAUAGGUACAGCAUCUCUUACAAGUCCAGUACUGUCCAAGGUUCUGUAAGAAAUACAAAAUUAAAAGCAUGAUAAAAUCCUUACCAUCAAAUGGGGUAGCGAGAUGUUAAAAGAACAUUGAUUUUUGAGGGGUGCCUAGGUAGCUCAUUCGGUUAAGCAUCUGACUUUAGCUCAGGUCAUGAUCUCACAGUUUGUGAGUUCAAGCCCCAUGUUGGGCUCUGUGCUGACAGCUCAGAGCCUGCAGCCUGCUUCAGAUUCUGUCUCCCUCCCUCUCUCUCUUCCCCUACCCUGCUUGUGCUCUCUCUCUUUCUCUUAGAAAUGAGGAAUGAAUAAGCUUUAAAAAAAAAAAAGGAAAGAAAGAGCAUUGAUUUUUGAAAGUUGGAAACACUUAAAAGUUCAA